UUUUUUUUUUGCUCGUGAAUUGGAGUUUGUUCUCGCGAGGAAAAAUAUACUUUUCUCGAUUAGAUGUUUUUUCCUUCUUUACUAAUAUGUUUUAAAUUCAUGGACUUUAUUUAAUGGGAUUUGCUAAUUCUCAUCGACAUGACAUCUGGCAAUGUCUUAUAUAAGUUUCUGAUCGUUCGAUCUGUUUGUCUUAAAUGUUGUACAAAUCUUGAUUGUGGGUUGUUUUGUCCUGCGCGUCUGCCCUUUCGUGCAUGCAUCUUUCCUUGGGCAAUUUUCGCUGCGUGAUUAGCCGUUUAAAUUUGUUUAUUCUUAUUUUGGCCUGCGUUGUAUAAAUUGGAGAGCCGAACAGUUGGGGGGCUGUUUGCUUAUUUGUUUUUCAUGUUCUAGUGAAGGAUGUUAUUUAUUUAUAUUUUCUAUUUUCCAUUUAUUUCAUUUCUUUUUAUUUUUCAUUUGACUUUCCCUUUUUUUUCUUUUACUUGUCUUUCCUAAAUUCAAGAACCUUUUUUCAUUCUGCCAUCUGUUCACUUUAAAUGUCAUCAAAAAAUUGAUCUUGUCGUUUUUUCGAGCGAGACCCGUGCGUUUGGUAUCUACUUGUCAGCCCAUUCGCCCGUGCGUCUUUUGUUGUCCCUCGUGAAGCAUUGAGGCCCGAUAGGACUUUCCUUAGUGAGCCGCUUUAAUAUCUAAGUCUAGGGCUGUCGGAUUUUAUUUUCCGUUUAAGAUUCAUGCAGCUUUUUUCUUUUGAGAAGAAAGAUCCACGCAGCUUGUUCGGCUCGCUCGCAGUCGCUGGCGUCGCGCGCGGCAGCCCGUGUCCUGUGUAGGUCCCGCCUGCCUGUUGUGGGCUUUUUUGUUUUACUAGGAAAAUUGCUCGUGCGUUGCAUCAGGUGAUACCAUGGUAAAAUGUUGUCAGUUCUCAAAAAAUAAUGUUGUCAAAGCAGUGAAAAGGAAAAAGACAGGAACUAUAUGUGUUUUACUUCCUUAGUGUGUUCGGGUUCAUGCCCUACAUCGCGUACAUCCACGUGCAACGUGUGUCUCAUUGCCUAAUAUCGGAUCCGCCUCAACCCCACCAGGAAGUCCGGCUGUCCACCAUCACCAUGAAGGCCCAACACGGUGGCAAGGUGCAGCAGCCUCGGUGAGGGCGUGGCGUACAGGAUGCCAAAUGCAUUUGAGAAGGUCAAGCCACCGACCAGGCGCCGAUAUCGCCCUCAGCCUCAUACUUCUCCUCCACCCAGCGAUUGGCCUAGGGACCACUCGAGCACGCAUCGGAGUGAAGCGGGCAUCCCAAUUCUGCCUAGGAGGGUAUGUUUGCCCACAUUGGUGUGAGGCGGGCGUCCUUAGCAAGGUGGUGUGUCUUGCUUCUCUACGUUAGGACCGGCGAGUCAAGAGAGCUGGGCUUCUUCCCGAUGGCAUAGUCAUUGACAGACAUCCUGGUGCUUCGCCCACCCAUGAUUUCGUGCUUCGCGCGUAAAGACAUAGAUAUAUAGCUAGAGAUUCUCUUUAUCUCAGAAUCUGAAGGUACAAUGCAUAAUUGACUGGUGUAUGUAAGCUAUUUACCACUUAAUGUUUUGAUGUGUACGUGAGCUAGUGUAAGAGCUAAGGUUUCAUCUCCUUAACAAAUGAACACUACUUCAAUUCGAGCUACCGAACUAUGGCAUCAACUUGAAUUGCACAUCAGAAGAAAACGGAUUAGUCCCAACUAUCAUAGAAAAUUGUAUUCCCCAUCAUUGAUUUGAAGUUUUCCGACAAAUGGUAAUGGAGCUGAGCAUCAUCAAAAUACAAGUUACGAUUAUGUUCAGAGGUCAUGAAUCUAAAUAAAACGCACAUUGAAAAUUGUACAAGUUCACGGUUGCUACCAUUGACAUAUAUCAUCGGCAUACUAUACAUGGAAGGCAUAUGAGUUUAGAGAAGAUAAUAUUAUGAUAGACUGCUAGCAGUCGUUUGACUCGUGUUUUAGCUGAUCAAAGGGAAAUUUUCACCAGAGAGAGCCAAUGAUCAUUGCUUUAUUAGACCAGUCGCUAAGAUGAUAUUUUGAGCAGUGUCCACGCAGGUUGGGGUCGGGCCGGCGCUUUGAGGAUAUGACCUCCAUGGCUGCGAGGCAUGGAGCCCGGGCAACGACGGGACGCGCAGGUCAGGGCUAGUGUGUGCUCGAAGGACUGGGUCUCCAUGUAUUGGCGCACGGUCAGAGACGUAGACGGCGAUGUAGGGAGACAAUAGCAAUGGCAAAGCAUGGAGGGAGGGGCCAGCUCAACAAGAUUGUAGAGAGUUCUGUUAAGAGCCGGUUAUUUCCAUGUAAUAUAAAUAUAUAAACCAUCAUUUGUUGCAGGAGAAGUAGAAUGGAAGUUUGGCAUUCGUUGCCUCUUCUCUCCUCUGUUCUCUCUUGUUCAGUUAACUCGGUGUGGACUGAAAGAGGUUACUCUGUUUUCUCUCCUCGGUUGUCCCAGAUUCACUUCGUGUGUAUUGGUGAGUCCAUUGACCUGAAUAGGGAGCAGGCCCGCGGCUACCAUUUAUCGGUCAUCCAAACCCUUCCACCCAUAAAUAAAGCACAUGAAACGGAAGAUAAAGUGUACUACUACUAAUUAUGAAUGGAUCAAAAUCAUGAGACAAACAGAGAAAGUCACAAAAAUAUAAUGGUGCUGAGACAAACGGUGAUUUAACAGCUGAGCGAUCGCUUGCCUUCGGGUCAAUGCGAACAAUGCCCAGCCGCCAUCACACUUGUGUCACCUAGACAUCACUGUCGUGCCGUCUGACUGCUCUCCCAGGUCACUCCUCUCUCGAUCUCGAUCUACCGAGCCGAGCCCCAAGACUUGAAAGCCUGCGGCCAGUUUGGGUCGAAGCCAAAUCUGAAAGCAUCCAUCGCUGGAUCCUCUUCUCCGGUUCAUAGACAAAUAAUUUGCUCUGAUCCAAGUUGUAGAUGAAUCAGUCUUUUUCUUAAGAAAACAAAGCAGGUACGCUGAUUCAAGGGGAUAGACCGACGUGUGCGGAAGAGGCAGCGGGGGCCGGGAACUGUUGCAAGAGGUGGUGCAGCAGUGAAAGGUUGGCUUGAUGGCGAACAGACCUCCUCUUCUUCUACUUCAUGGCAUGAUUCCAAUCCACCAUAGUGCCGCUGCGGACAUAAGAAAACCAAAAGAAGAAGAUUAUCAGAUCCUAUAACGUCGAGACGGGCGGCUAGCAUGCUCGUACCCUGCAAUGUUCAACCUAUCCGCCGGCGGCUUCCUCACCCUCCUCCUUGGAUCUGCAAAUCACGUUGUGUGCUGGACGGCUCUACUCCGUUUGGAGAUGGAGACGGACAACUGAAUUCGAAUUAAAUUAGUGGGGAAAACAUGCAUGAUUAUCACGAUCGGUUCAGACGACCUUGCGGAGGAAGGCUUGGGUGGAGGAGCCGGCUUCUGUGGACAGCACACGCUUGGUCGAUGGGGCAGUGCCCAACCGGACCAUCUCGGGAAGAUGCAGGGAGAUGGGAGCGGCAACGCGGCGGGGCUGUUUUGCUAGAUUUAGCGCUCUAUGUGGGUGGGGCGUCGAGGAGCAGAGCAGAGGGCCCCGGAUCUUGAGCCGGUGGAGGGGCUGGGCGGGCCGCAUCUUGAGUUGAGAUGCCAGGAUGCACAUCCGUCCUUGAUUAUCGCCGGCGUCGUCUAGAGGUCGAGCGCCCUGCCCACGGGCCUUGGUAGCGGGAGGAGAGAGCACAUCCCCGUCGGCCUGUUCGCUAUACUCUGUCCAUCCCCUCCUGAUUCCUAGAUCUGUCCCGUGCCUGGGGCGAGGUGGCCGGUGCUGGCGGCAGCGGCAGCGGCAGCGAACAUGCGUGGGAGGAAGGAUUUGUGCGGGCCUGUUUCAAGAGGAGGGUAGGAUUCGUUGGCAUAAAAGACGGCGGGGGAAGGAGGACUUGUGUUUGGUUUGGACUUUGGAGACGGGUGUCGUACGGACGGCAGGAGGAAACGUUUCUUUGUUAAUCCUGGACAGAAACAUAUUUUCUUAGGCAAAGCCAACUCAAAAAAGAAAGAUGACGAUGAACUCAACAAAGUCAAUCCGUGCUUUAUUAUAUAAAAUAAUAUAUAUAUAUAUAUAUAUAUAUAUAUAUAUAUAUAUAUAUAUAUAUGUAUGUAAAUUAACUGGGGCACCUAGGUGCUUGGGCACCUAGGGCAUCAGCCGUUAGAUCAACUCAUCAUCCUAUCGAGAUAUAUCGGGUUUACAACUGCCCAACCCACAACCCGUUAAAAUCAUUAAAUACAUUGGCAAGCACACGAAUUUGGACGGGUUUUCAAAAAUAUUGCAUGCGGAUAAAUUAAUACCUAUCAUAAUGUUUCGCAUUAUUGUGAUGCUAUUUAAUUCGACCGUUUCCAAAAAUAAAAGUUGCACUCUAAUUUGAUUGCUUUCCAUAAUAUUAAAAAUUAGCCAGUCAUGAUUCACACCUUUCAAAAAUAUUGCAUGCGGAUAAAUUAGUACAUAUCAUAAUGUUUCGCAUUAUUCUGAUGCUAUUUAAUUCGGCCGUUUCCAAAAAUAAAAGUUGCACUCUAAUUUGAUUGCUUACCAAAAAAAGGGGCUCAUGCACUGCCAUAAUUUGGCCGAGGAAUUAAAGCGGGAGGAAAUCAAAGCAUCCGGCAUGCAUUACAUACCUAUACGUGAUCCACUCUCCCUGAUUCAUUUCCUACAUGCGCACACCCGGCUGAUUUGACCUCUCCUUUGUCAGUCUUCCCCAAAAGCAUACCCAGAUCAUCAUCGGUCCAUCGUUAAUCUUCAGACGAGCAUACCCAGGUGACGUCCCCCCUUCGUUUAGCUUGGCCAUGGUAGCCAGUGUCACCUUCGUGGUCGCCGACUGUGGUCGUUUUUCUCCAUCACAGCUAUAGCAAUUUACAUAUUUCUUUUCCAUUUAUAGGUAUAUUCAUGCCUAGGUUACAGAGGUGUGCUACCGCAAGAAGAAAGAAAAUUCUUGGGGUUGGUCGUGGCAAUAUGGCUGCAGCUGCAGACCACGAUGACGACUUCAUGGAGCCACCGGUCAGGUCGUCAUCACUUCCCGUAAAAUAUGUAGCGCCGAUUUCUAGAUGCACACCCAUUUCAAUUUCGUCCAUCGUGAACGAUUUUAAGGAUGAAAAGAAACGCUUAGUCAGGGAGAUGAAGUUUGAUGGAAUUUUGAAACUACCAGAAAUCACAAACUCUCGUGAAUUUAGUCACAACCUUCUAUCUAGGGUAUCCACUGAAGAUAUAGCAAUUAGAAUGGGUGAUGGAUCUCUUCUCUACUUCACUGAUGGUGAUGUUCACAAAGUUCUGGGUAUCCCAUUCACGGGAAAGGAGUUGCGAAUUCCUUCCAUGGAAGAAAUCAAUCACAUCAAAAAUAUAAUAUGCAUCCGACUGAACGUCCCGGAGUUUAAAAAAAUCACGAGAACUGUACUAACUGAUAUUCUAAGCAAGAAACAUGAAGCACCAAUGUCGGAUGAUGAAGUUGCUGCCUUCAAGACUGCAUUCAUUCUACUUGUGAUGACCAAAUUCCUUGCGCCACAAACUUUGUUGGACAAUAUAUGUCCGAGGUAUUUUAUGGCGCUCAAGAAUUUGGAUGACAUACAUAAUUGGAACUGGGCAAGGUAUGUCGUUAAUGACAUUAUAGCAGCAGCGCAGGCAUUGGCCAACAAGCUCACUGAUGAAACAAAAGCCACCUAUAUAAAUGGAUGUGUCAUAUUUCUGCAGGUAUUUACAUUCUACAUUCAGAUAUUCUACUCUGUACAAACAGCUUGCAUGUAAUUCCAGUUAAUACUUACAUUCUACAUUCAGAUAUUCUACUUGGACAACCUGGAAUUGGGUCCGCUAAGUCUCAAGCAUGAUUGCUUCCCACGAAUUAUGGCGUAUGAUAAACAUGCAAUAAAAGUACGAAUGAGUAUGGACCUCAAAGAGAAGAAUCAGUACAAGCCAACCCAGUUUGGGAUGAUGAAGGUAGAAAACAAUCUCAUUGUUACAUUAUAGUGUGCGUAUCGUAAUGAAUUAGGACCUAUUUUUACAUAUUUAUCUUCAUUUUUUAUGUCCUUACAUGCAUUAUUUUUCUCUCAGCUACGUCCAAGAAGUGAAGUCUGUUACAGCAGACAUACAAUGGGUAUGAUGUCGGCUUUUCGAGCUGAAAGUGGCGCUGUCCCAUCAGAGAUCAAUCCUGAUAAUAGCAAGGUAUUUUCAUAAUUCUCUAGUUAUAUUCGUUUAGCAUACUGUCUGCAAUCCAACAUGUUGUGUAUAUAUGUUUACAGAUAGUUCAGCAAGCAUUCCUGAUUAGGGACAAUUUGUCAGAUGGAAAUAUAGAUUCCUGCGCCAAUGUAUUUCGUCAAACUUCUCAUGUUCAGCUGCAGCAUCCCUCUGGUAUUUCCUAAACUUUCAUCCACUGAUAGCAAUUUUAAUAAGUAAUGGUUAAUCUAUUUCAUUUCAGCUCUAGCUCAGAUGCAAUUUACGACCAACAUACCGACAGCAAAUAAUUUGCAUGCCAAAACAUCAACAUCAAUGGGUACACCAGGUUCAAAUGGAUCACUCGAUUUAAAUCGGUCGGUUAAGAGUGAGCAAGAGACGAGCUUGAACCUGAACAAAACAUACCCACGUCAAUCAUUGUGCGAUAUAGAGCCACCCUCCUUUGAUCUCGGCAUUGACCUAACACCAGUACAAGAAUCAAAGAAAGGUAUUACUUACAUACAUUUUCAUUCCUUUCUCAUUUACAUUUCUUAAUUACUUUUACUGCAUACAGAUUCUGCGGACUGUCGUCAUCCUAUCUCACCACGUUCUAUGUCACGUGAGAUAGCAGCAUCUAGCUGCAUUAUUCUACAAGACAUGUACGUUGAGAACAGCCAAGGAGAACUAAAGCAUGUGUGUGGCAUAAAACGAGAGUACCCUGAACCCAAACUCUUGGACUUCAGUCUUUCUACCCAUAACAAACCUCAGCGUCAGCGUUUCAAGUAUUCUAUUAACUCUCCAUUUGGUGACGCGGCCGCUGUACAUUCUUGUCCAGAACACGUGAUGAAUGUAUUAGUUAACUAGAUUAAGAACUAUCAGACUGAAGAUGUAUCCAGGUAUUUCAACUUCAUAUUUUUUGGUCCAUACCCAAAACCUCUGAAGCUCGCAAUGUUUACUAAUUAUCCCCUACAUCUAGCUCUACUUGGGUAGCUCAUGUCAAGCCAACCGCGAUCAAACUAACGGGGACAGACAUCCAUAAUUUCAUUGAAGGCAAUGACAGAGUUGAGUAUCCAACCGUGAGUCUUUACACUAGAAGGCUCAUUCAACUGGAUUUUGAGAUGUAUGGGGAAACUGACGCUUAUGGAAAGCGCCACUUUAUUGAGCCUGAUUUUGGGGUUAUUUAUCUUGUUAUCCUGCUCCGCAUAUAUGAAUUUAUUACCCAAACUUUUAUUUACAUAAGACUUUUGCAGGUUCAUGCAAUAGCUGGUGGAGACUGUUGGAACCCGGAAUUGUUUCGACAACAGUUCACUGGUCCGCACCUCAAGUACAACGUCUCCAAGUGUGAAAAUGUAAGAGUACAAAUUUUGCUAAGCUACAUUAGUGUGCUUUGUCUAACGGACGGGUAUAUGGUCACUGCAGAUUCAUGUUUCCCUAUGCGAUAUUAAACACUGGUCUUGUUAUACAUUCGACUUGCAUCGAAGAGUUAUUUACAUCCUUGACUCUAGUAAGCCUGAAAAGAGCGAGGAUGUUAGGCAAUACAGUAGGCAUACUUGGAUUGUACCUAUGUUGGCUUCUGCCAUGCAACAAUGCUUGUCCCUGUUCUUCAGUGACUGGAAAGAAGAUGUAACUACAUGGGCUUAUAAGGAACCUGUUGUGCCUACACACCGGUUUGAGUAAGAAUUUCCUCUGCCUAACCUUACGUCUCAUGAUAAUUCAAGAUUUUACUGUUUUAAUUACUACCGGUUACAUCUAAUUGUGCAGGGUUGAGAGUGGUGUUUAUACUUUGGAGUUCAUGAAGAAUUGGAAGGGGACAGACGUCGCCAAAGAGCUCAAUUCAGUAAGCCAUCCAUAAUUUUUCUUAAGACAUUUUCAAUAAAAAAACUGUCAUCCAUGUGUUGCCUUACUUACUUCCUAUCGUCAACCCACGCUUGCAUUGACAAGGUUAGGGCCAACAUUCUACUGGACAUUCUUACCAUCAGAGAUAAUGUAGCGGCACUUCUAGAUUUCGUCAAACAACUUGUGAGGCAAUACGAGGAUGGAGUAGUCGUGAAGAAAUGAAGACUCUCUUAUUACCUUUAUUUCAUCAUUUACAUAAUUAUAUCGAACUUGUUUUCACUUUCGGAAAAAGUAUUGACCAUUCUAUGUAAUAAAUACGACAAUUUGCUUCAUUUUAUGUUCAAUCUCUUCAUACGUUCCCUUGGGUAUCAUGUUGUCGGUUCAUAUUCCCACGGACCUGUCCUGGGAUUGUACUUUUUAGCGCCGACAGUUAAAAUUCAUACACGAUGCUUCAUACAAAUUAGACUACAAUUUUCUCCUAUGUUCUGGAUUUAUACUUCAACUCAUUUGGGUUUCCCAUACUCCAAUGAGAUCAAAAACGAAUAUUACCUUCAGUUCCAUACAUACACUAAACCUUCUCUUCUAAUACACAGCCGUCAAAAAAUAUCAAAGCAAAAUGGUGCCACAUUGAUCAUGGCGGGCUCAAAUGGUAGCAACUGAUCCAGUGUUGAGUUGACGGAUCCAUGAAAGCGGCGACCACCUUACUGACUACUAUUUUACAUUAUUCUGCUCGAGUAACCAACAUCCACACCAACGUCUCUUCAAAUUAUAAAAAAUGAGUACUCACACUGCCAUCGUACAUUCAUUGUCAUUGUACAUAACCAAUAUCGACACCUUCUAUAGUGGUCACAGUAGUCAGUUCAAUUUUUAACAUAAAAUGUCAGGCAAAGUAUCAUAGCAAACAUCAAUUUUAAUAUAGAUUCAGCGACGAUUCUUUAACUAGGUGUCUUGCAAUUAAGAAGCAAUCUAAAAUCGUCCGUAAAAAUGGAAGCAGAGCAAGUGCUUGUGCACUGCCUUGUACGUUGUACCACUACUAGUGAAUGCAACAAAUCGCUAAUUCCUAGUAAUUAGCUAGGCAAUGAAUCACACCAUAACUAAGAGUUAAUGACCCGAAUCAGUUACUGAUCAUGGCUAGUGGAGUCUCCUAUCUCACGUAUGGGUAUUUAAAAGGAGAACCCCUCCUUCCCAAACACACCAUUUCACAACGAAACACCAUAGUCUGAAGCGCAAACCUAAUGACCACUCCUUCUGAAGGAGAUGUCGCUGGUGGCACGGAAGGAUGUCCUUCACUGGAUUGUUCUAAUCAAGGCAGGACUACCAGUGGCAGGUCAUUUCUGAUACUACUAUACUCAUCUUCCCUACGUAAUAGACAUAUUAGUCAUUUUUGUUCUAGAAACUUGUACUCAGUGCUGACUCAUUAUAUAUUUUAUAAUUAGUGAUGACUCCGGAACUGCGCUGGUUACUAUUCCACCAGAAUAUUGCGAUGCAACGAUUAUGGAUCCUUUUUUAGGCCAGGUAUUCCAUGAAGACACGGAUGCCUUCCAGUUUUAUAACAUGUACGCGUUGAGAAACGGGUUUGGUAUAAGAAUUCGUAAACAAGUCAAAAAUGUUGCUGGUGACACUACUUACAUCGAAUUUGUAUGCUCAUGCGCGGUAUGUACUACUUAUCGUUUAUCGCUCAAACUAAAAUAAUUCAUGAUUGUGGGAUCAUUCAAUUUUUCUGUUGUCUUGUAUUUCCUUUCUCAGGGCAAGCCAUCUAAGGGGGUUCAAAAAUCUGUGAAGAGAGGUUGCGGUGCCGUGAUGCGCAUACACAGACAUGAAGAACAUAAGUGGAUCAUCACAGAACUCCGGCAAGAACACAAUCAUCCCCUUACAACCAGCACAGGUAUGACCCGCAACUGGAAAUCACAUAACAAAAUCGGUGAGGGCACCAAGCGCAUUAUGAAAGAUAUGAUGGAAAACAACAGCACCACAACUCAAAUGUAUGGAUAUAUAGCCGGGAUUGCCGGAGGAGCAUCGAUGCUGCCUUUCACUAGGACGUAUUUUCAAAGUGUUAAACAAUCAAUCCGAAUUGAAGAAAGUACAGAUGACAUCAAGAAGACAUUACGACUAUUUGUAGAAAUGCAAAAAUCAAGCAAAGAUUUCUUUUAUGCUGUCGAUGUUGGAAAGAAUGGAAAGAUAAAAAAUGUUUUCUGGUCGCAUGCUUGGUCUAGGGAUAGUUACAAGCACUUUGGUGACGUGGUCACAUUUGAUACUACCUACCAAACAAAUAUAUACGGUAUGCCUUUUGGUCUUUUUGUGGGUGUAAACAAUCACUUCCAGACUGUCAUCUUUGGUUGCGGACUGGUUAUAGAAGAAUCAGAGGAUGCCUUCAAGUGGUUGUUUAGUACUUUUCUUAAAGCUGUCGAAGAUAAGCAUCCAGUUGGAAUUCUCACAGGUUUACUCUCCACAUACCCUUACAGCACUUUUCCAUUUUCUUUUCUUAAAACAUUCUAAUUAUUUUGUACAAAUAAUACAGACCAGAACAGGGCCAUGGAACUUGCCAUCAAAGCUGUACUCCCUAACACAAUCCAUAGGUGGUGUAAAUGGCACAUUUUUUACAAAGCCAAAGAACAUAUUGGUCCUAAUCUUUACAGCAAGACAUCUGAUUUCAAGGACAAGUUCCAUAGAGUUCUUAAUCAUACAAGGACCAUAGAUGAGUUUGAAGGUGCUUGGAACUCACUUAUUGCUGAGUAUGAUCUCCAUAGCAACACCUGGCUACAAGAUGUGUGGGAUAAACGUGAUCGCUGGGCACCACCAUACUUCAAAGAUUUUUUCUUCGCAAAGAUGACAACAACGCAACGCAGCGAGUGCAUGAAUCAUGUGCUCAAAGCCUACGUUUCACCAUCAUCAACCAUGCAUAACUUCGUUAAACAAUACGAUAAGUUUAUUGCUGAUAGGAUUGCGGCUGAGGACAAACUUGAGUUCGACACUUCGAAGGUAUAUUUAUAUUAUAAUACAAAUAUACCUUUUCCUUUUUCUAAAUGAGAUUCAUUACCAUACCUCAUGCCGUUGCCACUUCUCAUAUUCGCAGGAUGCAAGGCAGCCGAGAUGUGGAUCACCAAUAGAGAGGAAAGCUGCUAAAGUUUACACAGACACCAUGUUUGCGAAGUUCAGCGACCAGGUAUACAUGAGUGCGUCUUACUUUGUCCAAGAAAUCAGAGAUGAUGGCACAUACAUAACAGUUCACAUGGAAUGUGAUACGAGGGAAAACUGGAGUAAGUUGGAGUUUCCAGUUCAUGUAAAGAAAGAUGAAGAGGAGUACAGAUGUAUUUGUAGGUUAUUUGAACACAUGGGCAUAUUAUGCUCACACAUAAUCAGGGUAUGCACAAUGGACCCUUUCAGUACUAGUCUUCUUUUCCCAAGGAAAUUAGAGUCAAAUUAUAUUAUUCAUUUUUGUGUCAGGUUAUGAUGCAUAUUGGGUGCCGGAAUCUUCCAGACAAAUACAUCAAGAAAAGAUGGACGAGCAAUGCCCGAGAAGGAAAUAAAAGCAGAUUCAACAUGCAUGCUGCUGCUUCGAGGACUCACCGGCAUACCCUGUUAUUCGAAGCUUGCAUGGACCUAUCGUCCAAAGGUGAUGCAUCAGUUGAUGCGUACCAUGUUGCAAUGAGGAAAAUUACUGAAGCUUUACAGGAGAUCCGUUUGAUGCCAACCCAAGAAGAUGCUACGGCUAUACUUCAAGUCCACACAACAUCUACACAUUUAUCUGCGGAAUCAGAUGAUGAGUGUGCCAAUGAAAUGGAAGAUGAGGACAUCUUGGAAGCUCAACUUCAUGACGAUGUGCUUCCACCAAACCGACGCAAGAAGCGAGGACGUCCAAGGACAGCAAGGCUCAAAUCUGCUGCCGAAGGUGGUGUACGUACAAAACGGAAAUGUUCAUUCUGCCAAGAGAAAGGACACUACAGAACUGGUUGUCCUCAAAACCCAGAGAAUUUGACAAAGUCAAAGAUUAAUAAAGUCUGCAAGAAGUGCCAGCUUCCUGGCCACAACACCUCUACAUGUGGCGAUCCUCCUUUACAUACUUGAUACGUUUCAGUACAAGUGUAAUAGUUUUCUUACAAAAUUUCCUUCAUUUUAUUGAAGCAUGUACUGUUCGUCCUUAAUAAUAACAGUGCCAAGAUAUUUAUGAUUUCCCAUUCAUUUUGUUUGUUGCAUAACACUAAGCAAUGGUCGUGUUAUUCUACUGUCGUCCUCACUGCCAACUGUUAAAUGAGUUUAAAACCCAGGUUGCAUGGCAAACUUGUGUUCUGACUGAGUAUCAUCGUGUUGUCUGUUGCCAUACCUUGCUCAUGUUUGUCGAUACAAGUUUAAUACCCAGUUCAAUAGUCUGAUAGUCUUACCUCCGACUUAUUUCUAAUUCCGACUGAGUAUCAUUUCGGUUUCAUUAUUUCAAAAAAAAUGUACAUUAAUUAGAGGCGCAUAUUUGGAAGGUAUUUCAAUUCCUAGUUAUACCAUUUCCAUAUUACACACGUCCCGCAAAAUUUUUGGAAGGUAUCUGACGGGAAAUCAGUUCGGUUUAAUUUUGCAAAAAUUGACUGACCAUUGAUGACAGCCACAUUUUCGGAAGAUGAUACCCUUUCCAUGUUAUACCCUUUCCAAAAAAAUGGAUAAUUUCGGUUCGUUUUUUCCAAAAUGAUAAACCACUAUUGCACAAGCCACGCCAUGCAAAUUUCUUGGCAGGGUAUUCAAUUCGCAUGCAUCAUUGGGGGUAUGAAUUACAAAUAGACAUAUGUAAACUAAUUUCUUACNNNNNNNNNNNNNNNNNNNNNNNNNNNNNNNNNNNNNNNNNNNNNNNNNNNNNNNNNNNNNNNNNNNNNNNNNNNNNNNNNNNNNNNNNNNNNNNNNNNNNNNNNNNNNNNNNNNNNNNNNNNNNNNNNNNNNNNNNNNNNNNNNNNNNNNNNNNNNNNNNNNNNNNNNNNNNNNNNNNNNNNNNNNNNNNNNNNNNNNNNNNNNNNNNNNNNNNNNNNNNNNNNNNNNNNNNNNNNNNNNNNNNNNNNNNUAUAUAUGGAAAAGAUUAGACACCGCACAUGGCAGCUGUGGCCUCUUGUCCCGCCUGCCCGCUGUGGGCGUUUUUGUUUUUUGUGGGUCUCCCAUUUAUAGUUUCCUACUUGCCAAUUGUUUGGUUUUUUGUCUCCCGGAAGCGUACAUAUGUGAAUGAGCUGACCCAUGAAGGGCUUUUUUACUAGUUUUGGGAGAAGCUUCCAACCCUUUUUUUUGUCUUUUUUAGUUUUUAUUUUUGUUUUCGCCUUUUUCAAAACUCGUGAUUUUUGUUGGUGUCUCACAUCUAAGUCCCUCAUCGUUCGAUCCACAGUCUUUUUUUUUCAUACGAGCCCUUGAUUCCUGUAGUUUGCCGCGUCCAUUAUGUGCUCACGUAGUUAAUUUUUUUCUUUUGAGGGAAAUGUGCUCGCGCAGUUGCCGUCUCCGGUGUGCUCACAUCGCUAUUGCGUUUCUUGGGCCCAUUAUGUCCUUAGUCGUUGUUUGUUGGCCUGUGUUCCCUGUGUUAGUGUUUGGGCCAGGUUUUUUUCCUUGUGCCCCGAUCAUUUCACGUCCAUGUGAGUUGUUCGACCACCUCAAAAAAAUGUUAGUUGUUCGUGAUUUUCUAAAAGAAAACUGUAUAAUUUUUCGAUUUUUUUGUACAAAUCAGAUCGACUAUUUGUUAAUUCUCUCCACAUGAUUAAUUGUUGUACGGUUCAUAUAAUUUGUUCAAUCUGGUGCGCGUUGUGGCUUUUUGUCCUCCAUUUGUCCAGUCGAAAAUUUUAUACUAAAUUGCAAAAUCACAUCUAGAUGAUUUUUGAUGAUGUCUCAUCUAAGUUUUUUUACCGGUUGAUUUAGUUUUUGUAAUUUUUAUGCAAGCGCUAUCCCCGCCUUGUUGGUCGAUGUUUUGUUUGUCGCGCAUCCUUUUGUUGGUCAGUUUGGCUUCACACUUUCAGCCCAUUAUCGUGUCGUGCUGACAAGCCAUUUCGAUACGUUGUUUCUAGGCCACAGCGUAGAUUUAGAAGAGACAAGAAAAGCAAAGGUAUAUCGCGCCUGUUACCUUCUCUGUUCAUUUUCACAUUGUCUCCCAUUUCUUCUAAGCUUUAUCAAGAUAAAAUUAGCAAUGUUUCAUCUGAGUUUGUUGUCCAUCGGAUCUUGCUGUUGUAAUUUAGUGCAAAUUUUGGAUCUUGCAUGUCGGCCGAUGUAUUCCUCUACCGCGUUGUUCCCUUUUGUUCGUUUGUCGUCCCGUCCGUUUUGUACAUAUGUUUUUUAUUGGGCAUUUUUCUGCACGCGUUCUUGUGUGCCCAUGUCAUUUGGCAAUGUCGUAGAAGUUAAAGAGGUAGGUUAUGCGCUUGUCCCGGUUGCAAGUGUUGGGAAUCGUAGCAUAAUUUUAAAUUUUUCCUACGCUCACCAAGAUGCAUCUAUGGAGUGUACUAGCAACAAGGGGAAAGGAGUGCAUCUACGUACCCUUGUAGAUCGCGAGCGGAAGCGUUCCAAUGAACGUGGAUGACGGAGUCGUACUCGCCGUGAUCCAAAUCACCGAUGACCGAGUGCCGAACGGACGGCACCUCCGCGUUCAACACACGUACAGUGCAGCGACGUCUCCUCCUUCUUGAUCCAGCAAGGGGGAAGGAGAGGUUGAUGGAGAUCCAGCAGCACGACGGCGUGGUGGUGGAUGUAGCGGGUCUCGGCAAGGCUUCGCCGAGCUUCUGCGAGACGGAGAGGUGUAGCAGGGGGAGAGGGAGGCGCCCAUGGCUAUAGGUUGCUGCCCUCCCUCCCCCCCCCUUUAUAUAGGCCCCCUGGGGGGCGCCGGCCCUGGAGAUGGGAUCUCAAGGGGGGGGGCGGCCAAAGGGGGGGAAGGGGUUGCCUUGCCCCCCAAGGCAAGUGGGAAGCCCCCCACCCUAGGGUUCCCAACCCUAGGCGCAUGGGGGGAGGCCCAUGGGGGGGCGCCCAGCCCACUAGGGGCUGGUUCCCUUCCCACUUCAGCCCACGGGGCCCUCCGGGAUAGGUGGCCCCACCCGGUGGACCCCCGGGACCCUUCCGGUGGUCCCGGUACAAUACCGGUAACCCCCGAAACUUUCCCGGUGGCCGAAACUUGACUUCCUAUAUAUAAUUCUUCACCUCCGGACCAUUCCAGAACCUCUCGUGACGUCCGGGAUCUCAUCCGGGACUCCGAACAACUUUCGGGUUUCCGCAUACACAUAUCUCUACAACCCUAGCGUCACCGAACCUUAAGUGUGUAGACCCUACGGGUUCGGGAGACAUGCAGACAUGACCGAGACGCCUCUCCGGUCAAUAACCAACAGCGGGAUCUGGAUACCCAUGUUGGAUCCCACAUGUUCCACGAUGAUCUCAUCGGAUGAACCACGGUGUCGAGGAUUCAAUCAAUCCCGUACGCAAUUCCCUUUGUCAAUCGGUAUGCUACUUGCCCGAGAUUCGAUCGUCGGUAUCCCAAUACCUUGUUCAAUCUCGUUACCGGCAAGUCUCUUUACUCGUACCGCAAUGCAUGAUCCCGUGACUAACGCCUUAGUCACAUUGAGCUCAUUAUGAUGAUGCAUUACCGAGUGGGCCCAGAGAUACCUCUCCGUCACACGGAGUGACAAAUCCCAGUCUCGAUCCGUGCCAACCCAACAGACACUUUCGGAGAUACCCGUAGUGCACCUUUAUAGUCACCCAGUUACGUUGUGACGUUUGGCACACCCAAAGCACUCCUACGGUAUCCGGGAGUUGCACGAUCUCAUGGUCUAAGGAAAAGAUACUUGUCAUUGGAAAAGCUCUAGCAAACGAAACUACACGAUCUUUUAUGCUAUGCUUAGGAUUGGGUCUUGUCCAUCACAUCAUUCUCCUAAUGAUGUGAUCCCGUUAUCAAUGACAUCCUAUGUCCAUAGUCAGGAAACCAUGACUAUCUGUGGAUCAACGAGCUAGUCAACUAGAGGCUUACUAGGGACGCGUUGUGGUCUAUGUAUUCACACAUGUAUUACGAUUUCCGGACAAUACAAUUAUAGCAUGAAUAAUAGACAAUUACCAUGAAAAAAGAAAUAUAAUAAUAACCAUUUAUUAUUGCCUCUAGGGCAUAUUUCCAACAGCAAGUCUACCUGCAGACUCAUAACUGGGUCGAUAUUUUGUUUUUCAUCCUGGUUGCAAGUCCAUCUUUUGCUCGUCACUCGGCUCAUAGUUUGUAAUUUUUAUAGUUGCAAAUACACCCUCUACUCACAACUCGUAUCGUAGUUUUGGGUAGUUGUCCUAGUUGCAAGCUCACCAUUGACUCGUAAUUGGGCAUGUGGUUUGUUUUUUUAUCCCAGUUGCAAGUCUACCCUUGACUCGCAAUUAAGCUCACAGUUUGUAGUUGUCCCAGUUACAAACUCACCGUUGACUCACAACUCAUAUCAUAAUUUUGUACAGUUGUCCCAGUUACAAGUCCACCAUUGAUUCGCAACUAGCUAGGCCGAUAGUUUGUUUUAUCCUCCUUGGAAGCCCACCCUUGACUCCCAACUUAGCUGUGUUUGUCUUUCAUCUUAGUUGCAAGUUCAGCCUUGACUCGGAACUGGGAUUGUAGUUUGUUUGAUCCCAGUUGCAUGUCGACCCUUGACUCGCAACUGGGUUCGUAGUUUCGUAGUUGUCUCAGUUGCAAGUCCACCUUCGACUCGCAACUGGCCUCAUAGUUCUCCCUAUUGCAAGCCCACCCUCGACUCGCAACUAGACAUGUCUUUUAUUUUUACACUCCAGUUGCAAGUCCACCUUUGACUCGUAACUGGGUCCAUAGUUUGUUUCAUCCCAGUUGCAGGCCGACCAUUUACUCGCAACUGGGUGCACUGUUUCAUAGGUGUCCUAAUUGCAGGUCCAUCAUCGACUCGCAACUAGGUUCAUACUUUUGUUGUUGUCAAAGUUGUAGGUUCACCCCCGACUCUAACUAGGCCCAUAGUUUUUUUUGCAGGUUAGGCCCAUAUUUGUUGUUGUUCUAGUUGCAAGUCCAUCCUCAACUCGCAACUGGGCCUCUAUUUUGUUUUUCAUCUUAGUUGCGAGUCCACUCUCGACUCGCAACUGAGCUUGUAGUAUGUUGUUGUCCGUUACAAGUCCACCCCCGACUUACGGGAGGGUGUAGUUUUGUAGUUGCCCUAGUUGCAAGUCCACCAUCAACUCGCAACUNNNNNNNNNNNNNNNNNNNNNNNNNNNNNNNNNNNNNNNNNNNNNNNNNNNNNNNNNNNNNNNNNNNNNNNNNNNNNNNNNNNNNNNNNNNNNNNNNNNNNNNNNNNNNNNNNNNNNNNNNNNNNNNNNNNNNNNNNNNNNNNNNNNNNNNNNNNNNNUUAUAGUAGUUGCAAUUAGACCCUCGACAUGCAACUAGGAGUUUCUGUCAGCCCAGUUGCAAGUCCACCCUCGACUCACAACUCGGGAGGGUGAAAGUGCAACUAUCCCUAGGUGGUUUUGGUAAUUCCUAACAACAUAUAGCUCAUUGAGCUAAUGCUAUUUCAAGAUAAACAUUUUAGGAAAGCUCAAUGAUUGGCAUGGCAUGGAUGAGAAAAGUGGACCCCUCAAAAUGCUAAGGACAAAGGAUUGGCUCAAGCUCAAAGCUUAGGACUCUAAAUUUUUCAUUUUAAGUGAUCCAAGAUCACAUUGAGUCCAUAGGAAAAGCCAAUACUAUCAAGAGGGGGUGAGGUGUUGCUUAAUGAGUUUCUUGCUCAAAGUGCUUAGUGAUAUGCUCCAAAACCCUCAACUACUUUCUCACAUCCACAUAUGUCCCAAACCAAAAGUCAAACUCGGCCCCACCGAAACUUUCUAUCCGGCGCCACCGAGUUCAGUUGACAUAGCCACUGCCAGAAACCCUAGUCUUUUCGGUCUCACCGAGAUGGGGUUGUAAUCUCUCUGUUUCCCUUCGUAACGUUUCGGUCAAACCGAGAUGAGCGAUCGGUCCCACCGAGAUUGCAAUGGAAACUCUCUGUUUCCCUUUCGUAACGUUUCAGUCCAACCGAGAUGAGUGAAUCGGUCCCACCGAGUUUGCCUGACCAACUCUCUGUUUGACUAUUACCAAAAUCGGUCUCACCUAGUUUGUGUAAUCGGUCUCACCGAGACUACGUUAUGCCCUAACCCUAACGAAAUUGGUCUUACCGAGUUGACGUGUCGGUCCCACCGAAAUGCCUAACGGUCACAUUAUGAACCAAAUCGGUCCGACCGAGUUUCAUGAUUCGGUCCCACCGAGUUUGGUAAAUUGUGUGUAACGGUUAGAUUUUGUGUGGAGGCUAUAUAUACCCCUCCACCCACUCUUCAUUCAUGGAGAGAGCCAUCAGAACAUGCCUACACUUCCAACAUACAUUUUCUGAGAGAGAACCACCUACACUUGUGUUGAGGUCAAGAUAUUCCAUUCCAACCACAUAAAUCUUGAUCUCUAGCCUUCCCCAAGUUGCUUUCCACUCAAAUCAUCUUUCCACCAAAUCCAAUCCUAUGAGAGAGAGUUGAGUGUUGGGGAGACUAUCAUUUGAAGCACAAGAGCAAGGAGUUCAUCAUCAACACACCAUUUUGUUACCUCUUGGAGAGUGGUGUCUCCUAGAUUGGCUAGGUGUCACUUGGGAGCCUCCGUCAAGAUUGUGGAGUUGAACCAAGGAAUUUGUAAGGGCAAGGAGAUCGCCUACUUCGUGAAGAUCUACCCGAGUGAGGCAAGUCCUUCGUGGGCGACGGCCAUGGUGGGAUAGACAAGGUUGCUUCUUCGUGGACCCUUCGUGGGUGGAGCCCUCCGUGGACUCGCGCAACCGUUACCCUUCAUGGGUUGAAGUCUCCAUCAACGUGGAUGUACGAUAGCACCACCUAUCGGAGCCACGGAUAAAAAAUCUCCGUGUCAACAUUGCGUUUGCUCCCUCAAACUCCUCCCUUUACCUUCAUAUGCAAUUGUUUUACUUUCCGCUGCUACACUCUUAGAAUUGCAUGUGUAAGUUGAUUGCUUGACUUGUGCUAAGUUGCUAAAAUCUGCCAAGAACUAAAAUUGGGAAAAGGCUAGAUUUUUAUUUGGUCAAGUAGUCUAAUCACCCCCCCCCCUCUAGACAUACUUUCGAUCCUACGGAGGGUGUUGUUUUGUUUUCACCCCAGUUGCAAGUACACCCCUGACUUGCAACUCGAGGUAUGUACUUUGUAAUCGCCCCAGUUGCAAGUCAACCAUGUACUCGCAACUCGGGAGGGUGUUGUUUCUUGUUUGUUUUCACCCUUGUUACAAGUCCACCCCGACUUGUAACUCGAGGGAUGUAGUUUGUAAUCGCCCUAGUUGCAAGUCAACCAUGUACUCGCAACUCGGGAGGAUGUAGUUCUAUAGUUUCCCUAGUUGCAAGUCCACCCUCGACUCACAACUAGGGGGUUGUUGUUUUUUGUUCUUGUCUCAUAGUAGUUGCAAUUAGACCCUCGACAUGCAACUAGGGGUUUCCGUCGGCCCAGUUGCAAGUCCACCCCCGUCUCGCAACUCGGGANNNNNNNNNNNNNNNNNNNNNNNNNNNNNNNNNNNNNNNNNNNNNNNNNNNNNNNNNNNNNNNNNNNNNNNNNNNNNNNNNNNNNNNNNNNNNNNNNNNNNNNNNNNNNNNNNNNNNNNNNNNNNNNNNNNNNNNNNNNNNNNNNNNNNNNNNNNNNNNNNNNNNNNNNNNNNNNNNNNNNNNNNNNNNNNNNNNNNNNNNNNNNNNNNNNNNNNNNNNNNNNNNNNNNNNNNNNNNNNNNNNNNNNNNNNNNNNNNNNNNNNNNNNNNNNNNNNNNNNNNNNNNNNNNNNNNNNNNNNNNNNNNNNNNNNNNNNNNNNNNNNNNNNNNNNNNNNNNNNNNNNNNNNNNNNNNNNNNNNNNNNNNNNNNNNNNNNNNNNNNNNNNNNNNNNNNNNNNNNNNNNNNNNNNNNNNNNNNNNNNNNNNNNNNNNNNNNNNNNNNNNNNNNNNNNNNNNNNNNNNNNNNNNNNNNNNNNNNNNNNNNNNNNNNNNNNNNNNNNNNNNNNNNNNNNNNNNNNNNNNNNNNNNNNNNNNNNNNNNNNNNNNNNNNNNNNNNNNNNNNNNNNNNNNNNNNNNNNNNNNNNNNNNNNNNNNNNNNNNNNNNNNNNNNNNNNNNNNNNNNNUUCUUGUUUCAUAGUAGUUGCAAUUAGACCUUCGACCUGCAACUAGGGAUUUCUGUCGGCCCAGUUGCAAGUCUACCCUCGUCUGCAACUCAGGAGGGUGUUGUUUUGUUUUCACCCCAGUUGCAAGUCCACCCUCGACUUGCAACUCGAGAGAUGUAGUUUGUAAUCGCCCCAGUUGCAAGUCAACCAUGUACUCGCAACUCGGGGAGGGUGUUGUUUGUUUUCACUCCAAUUGCAAGUCCACCCACGACUUGCAACUCGAGCGAUGUAGUUUGUAAUCGCCCUAGUUGCAAGUCAACCAUGUACUCACAACUCGGGAGGGUGUUGUUUUGUAGUUGCCCUUGUUGCAAGUCCACCCUCGACUCGCAACUCAGGGGGGGGGUGUUGUUUUUUGUUCUUCUUUCAUAGUUGUUGCCAUUAGACCCUUGACCUGAAACCAGGGGUUCCUGUCGGCCCAAUUGCAAGUCCACCCUCGACUUGAAACUCGGGAGGGUGUUGUUUUGUUUUCACCCUAGAUGCAACUUGCCCGAACCCUACACAAUUGCAUGUCCACCUUCGACAUGCAACCAAGGAUGGACUUGCAGUUGCAUGACUCGACCCUUUGUCCCAGUCGCAUGUCGCUAAUAAAACAAGAAGGCUCACUAAUACCUACAAUAAGGACCCCGGGGGCGCUGAUACAAUCACUAAGCUUAGCGGUCGCUCACUAUUCGCUCACAGUAGGUUGGCCAGCUGGCUCAACUCGCAACUGAACUCGUAUUUUCUUGUUGUCCAGUUGCGAUUCCACCCUUGACUCGCAAAUAGUAUCGUAGUUUUUGUGUAGUUGUCCUUGUUACAAGUUUGCCCUCACAACUAAGCCUACAACUAAACCCAUAGUUUGUUUUCAUCCCCAGUUGCAAGUCCUCCCUUGACUCGCAACUGGGCUCGUAGUUUCGUAGUUGUCCCAGUUGCAAGUCCACCUUCGACUCGCAACUAGGCACAUAGAUUUGUUGUUGUCCUAGUUGCAAGUUCACACGACUCGCAACUCCUAGCGUAGUUUUGUGUAGUUGUCCCAGCUACAAGUCCAUCCUCGACUUGCAACUGGUAUUGUUGUUUUGUGUAGUUGUCCCACUUACAAGUCCACUCUUGACUCGCAACUGGGCUAUAAUCAAUUUUCCGUACCAGUUAAAAGUCCAUCAUUGACAUGCAACUCGGAUUUGCCCCAGUUACAAGUCCAUCCUUAACUCGCAACUAGCCUCAGACAUUUUCUUGACCCAAUUUCAAGCAUCAACUCGCAACUAGGUUCGACCAUUAUACGUUUUUAAAAUUCAUGACCUUUUCUUUAAUUGGUGAACAUUUCUUUUAUUCAUGAAUAUUUUUAGAAAAUCAUGAAAAUUUAACAAAUUCACUAACAUCAUUUUAGUUCACCAAUACGUAUUGAAUUGGUGAAAACUUUUGAAGUUAGCGAACAUUUUUCAAAUUCUUGAACAUCUUUUAUAUCGCGAAUAUAUAUUUCUAAUUUGUGACCUUUUUUGAAUUGAUGAACAUUUUUUGAAUUGAUGAACACUUUUUAAGCUACCACUAUUUUUAUUUCAAAUUCUUAAAAAAAUCACAAACUUUUUUCAUGUUUUGCGGAUGGGGUAAAUUGACCUAAAAGACGUCAACCUACGGACAAGCUAGAGGGCAGUUUGCAAAAAACCUGAAGGAUACGGGCAUUAUCAACAAUAGGGCUGCUUCUCAUUGCAUGCAGACUUGUAUAGUAUCAAUCAAGUCAAGGCCAGCGAGGGAGCCGAGCUAGCUAGCGCUGGCCAGGCAGCCCGCGUGUGUUCAAUGUGACAGCAAACAAAAGCAAAAAAGGCUAAAAAACAAACAAACAACAAGAAAGUCCAGCAGGGAGGAUUACAAAAUACAUGACAUCAUACUUAGAUGUGAGAUAUUAUCUCACGUCUAGAUGUAACAUAGACGGAUUUCAAAAUUCAGAUUGACUAAUAUAUAUCUAGAUGUUUUUUAGCUAUGUCACAUCUAAGUUGUCCACCACAUGAUUAGAGGCUGCAAGAUUCAUGCAAAUCUGUUUUUUUUUGUCGUUGUUGUGUCUCGCACGCGUGCUGGUGUGCCUUUGCAUCCCGUUCGCGUUGUGCCCGUUGACUCCGUGUCGAGCGCUCGCUGGUGUGGGUCAUGUGGGCUAUGGACUACGAUUCCCCUUUUUCAUUUCAAGCCACUGCACUUUAGAAUCGGACUUUUUUUUUGCUCGUGAAUUGGAGUUUGUUCUCGCGAGGAAAAAUAUACUUUUCUCGAUUAGAUUUUUGUUUUUUGUUUUUCCUUCUUUACUAAUUUGUUUUAAAUUCAUGGACUUUAUUUAAUGGGAUUUGCUAAUUCUCAUCGACAUGACAUUUGGCAAUAUUUUAUAUAAGUUUCCGAUCGUUCGAUAUGUUUGUCUUAAAUGUUGUACAAAUCUUAAUUGUGGGUUGUUUUGUCAUGCGCGUCUGCCCUUUCGUGCAUGCAUCUUUCGUUGGGCAAUUUUCGCUGCAUGAUUAGCCGUUUAAAUUUGUUUAUUCUUAUUUUGGCCUGCAUUGUAUAAAUUGGAGAGCCGAACAGUUGGGGGGCGUUUGCUUAUUUGUUUUUCAUGUUCUAGUGAAGGAUGUUAUUUAUUUAUAUUUUCUAUUUUCCAUUUAUUUCAUUUCUUUUCAUUUUUUGUUUGACUUUCCCUUUUUUUUUACUUGUCUUUCCUAAAUUCAAGAACCUUUUUUCAUUCUGCCAUCUGUUCACUUUAAAUGUCGUCAAAAAAUUGAUCUUGUCGUUUUUUCGAGCGAGACCCGUGCGUUUGGUAUCUACUUGUCAGCCCAUUCGCCCGUGCGUCUUUUGUUGUCCCUCGUGAAGCAUUGAGGCCCGAUAGGACUUUCCUUAGUGAGCCGCUUUAAUAUUUUGUGUAUGGAAAACGUUUGGGGCCGGGGCACCGGCGGAACGAUUCGGCCGGUCUCCCUCUUCCUCGCGCAGCGCACGUACAGGAGGGCACCAGAGCCGGCAGGCACCACGCGCGGGCCAGACGACCAGCGGGCUCCUUCGACCGCUGCCGCCAGAGAAGAGCGCCUUGUCGUCCGCGUGCGGCCGCCCCUUACCGGAUGUCGUUCGCAUGCGGCCGCCCCUCGCCGGAUCUCGUGCGCAUGCGGCCGCCCCUCGCCGGAUCUCGUCCGCCUGCGGCCGCCCCUCGCCGGACUACUACCCCUCUGCCUCUUCCCAGAAUCCGCCCCUCUGCCUCUCCCUGGAAUCCGCCCCGGCCGCCCCUCGCCAGACCUUGCAGCGCUCGAGCCUCCCCAGCCAUGGCAGACUACACCCCACGGUGAUUUUUUGUUAGAACCGGUUGUAGCAAAUUCAAUCGCCGGUGGUAGCAAAAAUCUACUACUGUUGCAGCAAAACGGCUUCAUCGUUAUCGCGAGCAAACACUAGACAUCGCGCUUUUUUGUUACAUGCUACAACCUGUAUCACAUUUUGCUACAACCGGCACACCACUCAGCUACAACCGGCGCCGAGUUUUGCUACAUCGGAUAUACAGAAAGUUGCAAGCGUUCAGUGCCAUAGAGGAAAGCUACAACCGUCUACAGAAAAUGCUACAACCUUCGAUGAAAAAAGCUUCAACCAAACGAGAGAUGAAUUUUUCACCCAGGCGCUGCUCAAAACGAAAAAAGUUUCAAUCGUUUACAGAAAAGCUUCCACCGUAGAGGAGAAAAGCUACAAUCGUGUCAAUUUUUUGCUACUACCGUCUGUGUGUUUUGGUACAUCCAUUCAUGCGGCCAUGGUACUUUUUUGCGACUGAGGUGUGACCGGUGACGACGAGGACGAACAUUUUUUGUUGCAACAACCUCGUUUUUGCUACCAUUGGCGAUGUGUUUUGCUACAUCCGAUUAACAUGUUUGCUACAAUGGCGACGCUGAUGGAUUUUUUUUGCUGCAACCGUUGUCUUCAUUUGCUACGACUGACACGGGAAAAUGCUACCACGGGGCAUCUCUGUUUUUUGCUGGAACCAAUUAUCGGUGAGGCGGAGCUGCAUCCAUGGCACUCCGACGAGCAGCGGGGGCAGCGAGCGGUCGGGGCGAGCUGAGUCCCGGAGCGCGGGGCGGCCCCGACGGGCGGCCGGGGCGGCGAGCGGACUUGGACGAGUUGAGUCGCGGAGCUGCAUCCAUGGCGCUCCGAUGGGCGGCCGAGGCGGCGAGCGGUCAGCUCCAACCGGCGGCCGGGGCGGCGAGCGGGUGGGGCGAGCUGAGUGCCGGAGCGUGGGGCGGCCGGCGAAGACGGGCGGCGAGACGGGGUUCCUUUCCCCGUCCGCGCUCGCGAGAGGAAGACGACGCCUUGGUUGGAUAAGGAUCCAACGGAUCGGAAUGAGCCGAUCUGACGGCUAGGGCUGGACCGGCCGAAGCGUCCGGCCGGUGCACCGGCGCCUAGCAUCGCCCUUUGUGUAUUGGGGUUUAUUUUGUGCGUUGUAGAUUUUUUGUGGACGGCCACGCGUCUUUUUAUUUCCUGUUUGUGGUUAUUUUUGUUCGACUGUGUAGCUAGAGGACAUCAUGACUAGAUUUUUUUGUUUUGGAUUUGCUAAAUCUCCUCGGGAUAAGAGUUAGUGAUGUCUCAUCUAAGUCUGUAACCUUCUGAUUUGUUUACUUUAAUGUUUGUACAAACUUGUUCAUUCACGCUUGUGUCAGCUUGUUCUACUUUGUUGCGCGUCCUCUUUGUCAUGAUUGUUUUUGUGUCGUCUGUUCUCGCGUUUCUUUUCACAUGGCCCCAUAUAUAUAGUCAUGGGGGGUGCGUUUGUUUUUGUUUGUUUUCGUUGUGCAUGUUUUAUAGCCUGGUAAAGAAUUUGUAGAGUCCAUCCCGAUUCCCAGACGAGAGCCUGUUUUAUAUAAGGGAGCAAUUGCAAGUUUUUUUGUCUAGAUAAAGGGUAUAAAUGUGUAGAAUUCAGAUCAAUGGGGAGAAAUGUCAGAACUCCUUAUUGUUCUUAUAACCCUUGACUUGCAACGGGGCUCGUAGUUUCAUAGUUGUUCCAGUUGAAAGUUCACCGUACCCUUGAUUUGCAAACUGGGCUCGUAGUUGUCCGAGUUACAAGCCCACCCUCGACUCGCCAUCGGAGCAUCUAUUUUUUUGUAUUGCAGUUACAAGCCAAACCUUGACUCGCUAUUGAGCUCAUAGUUUGCUUUCAUCCCAGUUGCAAGUUCACCCUCGAUUUUUAACUAGGCUCGGUAUUUUUUUGCAUCAUAACUGGGCCCAAUUCUUUUUUUUUUCAUUAGUUGCAAGUCCAUCCUCAACUUGCAACGACCCGACUUUUUGCGUUAGUUACAAGUACACCAUCCACCGACAAUUAGGGGCUGGCAUUAUUUUGUCCCAGUUGCAAGUCAAGGAUCGAUUCAUAACUCGGCCCACACUUUUUUUUAUCACAGUUUGGAAGAAAACCAUCGAUGCAUAGCUGGGCCCUUGAUCUUAUCCAAGUCACAAGUCAACCAGCAACUCGCAACUACGGGGGGAGGGACAAGUGUAUCUUUGUACGACUCCGAGCUGCAUGUCAACCAUCGACUCGCAACUAGGGGAGCGAAGCAUGUUUGUAAAGGAACCAGUUGCAAGUAAACCACCAACUCGCAACUGGGGAGGAGGGGGUCUGUGUGUUUGUCGAGCCCCCAGUUGCAUGUCAACCAUCGACACACAACUAGGGGGAGGGGAGAGUGUUUAUCGAGGAUGACCCGGUUGCAAGUCAACAAUCGACUUGCAACUAGGGGGAGUGUUUGUCGGGGCCGACGUCGGUUGCAAGUUAAUCAUCAACUCGCAACUAGGGGAUGCGACAGUGUUUGUCGGGGCCGCCCCCGGUUGCAAGUCAACCAUCGACUCACAACUAGGGAUGGCAAGAGUGUUUGUCGGGGCCCGACCCCGGUUGCAAGUAGACCAUCGGCUCGCAACUAGGGGGAGGGAAGUGUGUUUGUCGGGUACCCCAAUUGCAUGUCAACCAUCAACUUGCAACUAAGGGGGGAGUGUGCUUGUACGGGGCCCAGUUGCAUGUCAACCAUCGACUCACAACUUGGGGGGAGGGAGAGUGUCUGUCGAGGCCGACCCCGGUUGCAUGCCAACCAUCGACGCACAACUAGGGGAAGGUGAGAGUGUUUGUUGGGGCGUGUUUGUUUGUCGACCAUCGACUCGCAACUAAGGGUGUGUUUGUUUUGUCGGGGCCCCUAGUUGCAAGCGAACCAUCAACUCGCAACUAAGGGUGUGUUUUGUUUGUCGUGCUCCCCAGUUGCAUGUCCACCAUCAACUCGCAACUAAGGGUGUGUGUGUUCUUGUCGUGGUCCUGAGUUGCAACUCAACCAUCAACUCGCAACUAAGGGUGUGUUUGUCAAGGCCCCUAGUUGCAAGCCUACCAUAGACUCGCAACUAAGGGCGUGUGUGUUCUUAUCGUGGUCCCCAGUUCCAUGUCAACCAUCGAUUCACAACUAAGCGCGUGCUUGUCAGGGCCCCCAGUUGCAAGUCAUCCAUUGACUCGCAACUCAGGGUGUGUGUGUGUGUUCUUGUCGGAGCCCCUAGUUGCAUAUCAACAUUGACUCACAAUUAAGGGCGUGUGUGUUUGUUGUACAGGCCCGAGUUGCAAGUUAGCCAUCGACUCACAACUAGGGGGGUGUAACACCCCGAGGAUCAUGCUACAGUAAUCUCCCCCUAAUGGUGGCCAUGUCAUCAUGAUUACUAUGCAGCUUGCCACUUGUCCAAAAAAUCAAAUCCUUUUCAAAUUUAAAAUAAGUUGAAUAAAUUAUUUCUUUGAGCAGUAAAACAAAAAUGUUUACAUUAUUCUAAAAAGUCUCCUGAUCAUUUCUCAUGUUGAAAUCAACAUCAUUUGACUCACCAAUUAACCCCUAGGAAAUUAUAAGGUGGUCCAGCAGUAUAUGAAAACAGCCUUUUCAAAAUAAACAAAUACUUAUACAAUUCCAAAUGUCCCCAAACUUUGUGGGACGCUCCAGAAUAUUGCAUGGUAAUUAUUUGCAAUUUUUGAGUCCAAGAAAAAUUCAUUUGCUAUGUGAACUAAAUAGAAAACUGAGACAAAAUGAUUAAAAAAAGAGAAAUGAAAAUGGACAAACUUACCUGUUGGACUGGGCUCUAUGUGCACAGUGCACAAUCGGCCCAGCCCAGCCGUGCCUUAUCCUUCCUUCCUGUUCACAGGAGGCCGUGGCGCGCAUUCGGCCGCCAUGGCCGCGGAUGGACGCGUGCCGGCCAUCCCACGGCCCCCCUACCGGAUAAGGCCUAGCCAGACCCCUACAAACCCUAGCGCCUCCCCACUUCCCCUCCCUUCGCGCCGCUUCGCUCUCUCGCGCACCCACCCGUGUCAUCGUUGCCAUGGCCUCCUCCGUCCGUGUGGCCAUCGUCGACCUCAUCGGUUCAGGCCCUCGCCUGGCACUGCGUCUGCUUCGUCUUCAUCGACUCCGAGGAGUAGCUCGAGCAGGAGAUCGCCACAGCGCCGGGAUCGACCGCUUCUUCCCGCUUCGGUCGUCGGAGUUCCCUCCCGAAUCCACUUACGUCUGCUGCUACUAAGCUGCCAACGGGACCCCAUGCGACCCUAGGUGAGCUCAUGGUCCUCCUCGACCCCCUCUCGUUCCUCCUCGUGCCUCGUUGGCUCGUUUCCGUCGCGGUUGAGCCGCCACCGCCGUUGGACGUCGUCGUCUCGGUCAUUUCCCGCCGUUCUAGCUCGCGCCCGUGCCACCUACGAACGCGGUGGGGUAUCCUCGUUCGAAUGGUUCGAGCCGUUGCUCGAACUGGACCCCGUAGAUACCUUCCCGUGCAUCGCCGCCGCUCCUGAAGCUCGUCGUCGACGCAUGCGUACGUCUAAACGCCGGCCGUGCCCUGCGUGCCUACCACUGCUCGGCCUGCAGUUUCUGCUGCUCGGGGCUGUGCACGCGCAUGCUGAACCUAACCCGCGCUCCCCUUCCAUCGCUUGUGCCCGCGCCUCCUCCUGUUGUUCCUCGCGCCGCCUGCGUUGCUCUACUGCUGCCGCAUCCCACUGUCGGCUGCCUCGCCUCCGCUCGCUGCAGCCCCUGCCCCCGCGCCCUGCGCGUGACCCACUCCCGCAUCGCCCCGCCUCUGCCUCUCUCUGCGCGCCGCCCGCCGCCAGCGCCCAGCUCGCCCGCUGCCUCCCAGACCGCUCGCCGCCCGCACAACCCUCCCGCUGCCGAGCUGCUGCUGCUACGGCCGCGCUGCGCUGCCGCCCUCUCGCCGCGCCGCUAGGGCCGCCGCAACCAGGGCCGCGCCCUGCUCCCCCCAGGCGGGCUACGGCCUGGCCGUCGCCGGCGCUCCUCUGAAGGGACGGUGUGCGCGAGCCCAGCCGUGGCUGGCUGGUGCCUCUGCCGCUGGGGCCCGGCCACUAGCAUUUUAGUUAGUCCCCCUAACCCCCCUGUUAAUUUGAUAGGUCUAUUAAUAUAAUUACCUAGAUAUUUUAACUGUUAGACACUGGCUGGUGGACCCCAUCUAGUUAACUAAAGUAAUAAAACCCUGUUAAAAUGUGUACCUAUGACACAUGGGUCCCACUGGCCCCAUUGACCAGUCAAACUGCUGACUGGGAUAACCCAGUCAAUGACAUGCGGGUCCCCUGGUCCCUUUGACUAGUCAAACAGUCUCAGUUGACUGCUGGCUGGCAGUCAACAGGACCCCACCUGUCAGCCCCUGAUGCAAACAGCUGGGUACACUUCAGUGUACCCGUAGCAAUUUAUUCAUUUAUUUUCGAAAUAAUGAUAUUCUAGAAAAUUACUAAAAAGUUUGAUAAAUCAUAUAAAAUAAACCGUAGCUCAGAUGAAAAUAAUUUUUAUAUAUAAGUUGCUCAGAAAAAUCGAACGAAUCCGAAUAUGCUAUCCGCAUAUCUGUCACAUGCCUCUAGCAUGCUGAACAUGGAACCGUCCCCCUCUUUUCAUUUGUCCGAAAAACGCCGAACGCCGUGGAAAACCCCUCCGGAUGUUUUCCCUCUCUGUCUGCAACGUGUAGUACUGCGUUAGGUCACCCCUAGCACCGCGAAUUGCCAUGUCUUGCUUUGUGAUGCUAUGUUUUCUUUAUAUUUAUUGUUUCUUCCCCCUCUUUUCUUCGGUAGACCCCGAGACCGAUGCCGCCCCUGUGAUCGACUACGUGGACAACGACACUUCUUCCUUUUCGGCAGAGCUUCCAGGCAAGCCCCCCCUUUGAUCAUCCCGAUAUCGCCCAUUCCAUUUUCUCAUGCUUGCAUUAGAUUUUGCUACUGUUAUUGUUUGCUCCUAUUCUGAUGCAUAGCCUGCUUUUGUAACCUGCUUAUUGUUACCUUACAUGCUUAUCCUAAACUGCUUAGUAUAUGUUGGUUAGUGAUCCAUCAGUGACCCCACCUUGUCCUUGUUGCCCCUGCUUCAUCAUCGAUGACUCGAUCAACGUGAUCGACGACCAGAGCCCGACACCUCACAUCACAUCACGCCCCUUUUGUUGCUCGACUCUACAGAGUUACCAUCGAGUGCCGAGGGUGGAACCUCAUACAUCACUCCUGAUGGGAUCUUUGUAGUGUAGCUAUUCGGUCGUGGUCAUCGAGGGUGAUUUCCUCCUUAACCACUUCCGAUACGACUCUGUCGUGCAACCCCUCAAGUGUGAACCUCGAGGGUGGUUCCUCUUACGUUCACCUUGAUGAUUACAUCGAGUGGAAUCCACCGAGGGUGGUUCCUCAGGGUUCCCCUUGGUGUUAGACACACAGUUACUAUGGUUACUAUGACUUUACACUGAACCAUGUUACUAAAGACGGGUCGGCCCUGAGGGGUACCCGCGCGAGCUUGAUUGCGAGUGAUGUGGAGUCGGGUUGACCUGGAAGGUGCCCGCGAGAUACUUAUGAGGCGUGGCCGGGCAUUCUUAGCCCUUGCCGCAAGUCCUAGAGAUGGGGCGAGGGGGUCACAUCGAUCGUGAGUCUCUACUCGUUACCGCGUGCUCCUAAUCCACUACGAUUUGGAUAUUUGAUCCGAGAGGCCUCUGGCUUGAUAGCACUAACCAUCACGUGGGCAUAGUAUGGGCGUUCUGCGUCGUAUGCAUUAGCCGAAGCUUAAUAGACGUCAUGCGACUGAGCGGCGCGCGCCGGGUUGGACUGGUAAGCACCUGCCUUUUUUAAGGAGGUAGCUAGGCCUGCUCACCGGCCGCGUACGCAACGUGCAGGAGUUCCCGAGGCGAUGGCCCAUGACCCCCGGGGGCAUAGGUUUAGUCCGGCGUGCUGACCUCUCUAUUAAGCCUAGGUCGGGUUGCGGCGUAUCGUUUGGCCGAGGCCGGGCAUGACCCGGGAAAGUGUGUCCGGUCAGAGUUAAUCGAGCAUGGUGGGUAAGUUGGUGCACCCCUGCAGGGAAGAAAACAUCUAUCCAUAGCCUGUCCUACGGUAACGGACACUUGGAGUUGUAUCCCGAUCGAUACAACUAGAAUUGGAUACUUGAGGUGAUAACUAGAUAGUAUGGCCCUGGGAUUACUUUCUCGCACGGAGUCGAGAAAGGAUCUCUGGCCGAGGUUGAUAACACUACUACUACUUUCACUACAGAAAUCAGCUAUUUUGCCGUCUGCCACGGCGGACGGCAAAGGCAUGAAUGGCGGAUGGCAAAGGCCUUUGCCGUCAGCCGCGGACGGCAAAAGGCUCCGGCAAAGUAGGCUACGGUAAACAGCUACUUUGCCGUCUGCUUUUGGCGGCUGACGGCAAAGGGACCUUUGCCAUCAGCAGCAGACGACAAAGAAAGCAGACGAACGGACUAACAGCGUAGCCUUUGCCGUCCGCCUCGUGAGUCACAGACAGCAAACAAAAGGGAUAAUAUUUAAAAAACACAACAACAAUGCUCCCGAGUGCUGCGGUCAACGCAUGCAAGUGCACUUCCCUAUCUUUCUUUUUAACAGGGAAAGGACAGGCCGUGCCUUAGUGCCUUUUGUUCAACAUUAGUGGAGUACAAAGUUCAAACAGGACCCCGAGAAAACUAAAGUUACAACAUAGUCCUGGAAAUUAACACAAAAGGCCCUAAAAAUUAAAACUGAAAGGCAAUCGAGUCCUUGCUCUCCACUGCAGUGCUCUGCCCGCCCCGUCGUCCAGCCCGACUAUGGUUGCGCCGCCGCCCGGCGCUUCUCGCUGCGCCACUGUCUGACCCUGCUCAGCCGCG
rnacentral:lncRNA from 1 species